rnacentral:lncRNA from 1 species
CCAGAUGCGCGGUUUCGAUCAGAUGCUCGGAACUUCUUGAGAACUUUGGGGCAGGAUCAAAGUCUUCAUUGGUUGGUCUGUAGGGAUUUUAAUGAAAUCCUUUAUUCUUAUGAGAAUAGAGGCGAGAUGGUUAGAGAGUAACUCCGUAUGAAAGAAUUUCGAAAUGUUCUGUCAAACUAUUUUUUAGAGGAUUUAGGUUAUGAGUCUGUGGUUCACUUGGGAAUGGGG